GGAUGCUAAUACCGCAUAAGUUCUUUGACCUCCUGGUCUUUGAAUAAAAGACGGCCUUUGUGCUGUCUCUCAUGGAUGAUCCCGCGGCGUAUUAGUUAGUUGGUGAGGUAAUGGCUCACCAAGACCAUGAUACGUAGCCGACCUGAGAGGGUGAUCGGCCACACUGGGACUGAGAACGGCCCAGACUCCUACGGGAGGCAGCAGUAGGGAAUCUUCCACAAUGGGCGAAAGCCUGAUGGAGCAAUGCCGCGUGAAUGAAGAAGGUCUUCGGAUCGUAAAGUUCUGUUAUUAGAGAAGAAAGAUUCAAGGCGUAACUAUCUUGAAUUUGACGGUACCUAACCAGAAAGUCACGGCUAACUACGUGCCAGCAGCCGCGGUAAUACGAAGGGUGCAAGCGUUAAUCGGAAUAACUGGGCGUAAAGCGCACGCAGGCGGUUUGUUAAGCCAGAUGUGAAAGCCCCGAGCUCAACUCGGGAACUGCAUUUGGAACUGGCAAACUAGAGUCUUGUAGAGGGGGGUAGAAUUUCCAGUGUAGCGGUGAAAUGCGUAGAGAUUGGAAGGAAUACCAGUGGCGAAGGCGGCCCCCUGGACAAAGAC
rnacentral:rRNA from 1 species